rnacentral:tRNA from 1 species
GGCGAUGUGGUGGAAUUGGUAGACACGCCAGCUUGAGGGGCUGGUGGGCAUUAGCCCUUAGGAGUUCGACUCUCCUCAUCGUCA